GGAUGAACGCUAGCGGCAGACUUAAUACAUGUGAGUCGAGGGGCAGCGCAUCCUUCCGAGGAUGCCGGCGACCGGCGAACGGGUGAGUAACACGUAUGGAACCUACCCUUAACUGGGGAAUAGCCUUGAGAAAUCGAGGGUAAUACCCCAUAUUAUCACAAGAGGACAUCCUCUUGUAAUGAAAGCUCCGGCGGUUAAGGAUGGUCAUGCGGUCCAUUAGCUUGUUGGUGAGGUAACUGCUCACCAAGGCCGCGAUGGAUAGCUGAUCUGAGAGGAUGAUCAGCCACAUUGGCACUGAGACACGGGCCAAACUCCUACGGGAGGCAGCAGUAGGGAAUCUUGGUCAAUUGGCGAAAGCCAGAACCAGUCAUGCCGCGUGCAGGAUGAAGGCCCUAAGGGUCGUAAACUGCUUUUAUUCGGGAAGAAAAAGUCUGUUUCCACAGACCUUGACGGUACCGAUUGAAUAAGGACCGGCCAACUCCGUGCCAGCAGCCGCGGUAAUACGGAGGGUCCAAGCGUUAUCCGGAUUCACUGGGUUUAAAGGGUGCGCAGGCGGCUAAGUAAGUCAGUGGUGAAAGCCUUCGGCUCAACCGGAGAAUUGCCAUUGAAACUACUUAGCUUGAGUGCAGUAGAGGUAGGCGGAAUGUAGCAUGUAGCGGUGAAAUGCAUAGAUAUGCUACAGAACACCGAUAGCGAAAGCAGCUUACCACAUUGCAACUGACGCUGAGGCACGAAAGCAUGGGUAGCAAACAGGAUUAGAUACCCUGGUAGUCCAUGCCGUAAACUUUGAACACUCGGAGUUUGUCGCCUAGCGAUAAGCUCCCUAGCGAAAGCGUUAAGUGUUCCACCUGGGGAGUACGGCCGCAAGGCU
rnacentral:rRNA from 1 species